rnacentral:rRNA from 1 species
UACGGAGGGUGCAAACGUUGCUCGGAAUUAUUGGGCGUAAAGCGCACGUAGGCGGUUUGGUAAGUCGGAUGUGAAAGCCCUCGGCUCAACCGAGGAAGUGCAUUCGAAACUGCCAGACUUGAGUAUGGAAGAGGGUCGCGGAAUUCCCGGUGUAGAGGUGAAAUUCGUAGAUAUCGGGAGGAACACCAGUGGCGAAGGCGGCGACCUGGGCCAAUACUGGACGCUGAGGUGCGAAAGCGUGGGAGCAAACAGG